ensembl:lncRNA
GGGGUUUUAUUUUAAUUCUGUGUUUUUAUGGAAUAGAAGGGCAAGAGGGGACUCAAGACCAUGAAGUGCCGUGGGAUUAAAUGGGGAAACCCUGGAAGCCCUUUGGCUGGUGAAGGACAGGGGAAGGCUGGGCUUGUUUGCCCAUGUGGGGUGGAUGUCAGGGCUGUGCCAGGGAGGCAUCCAAAGCCAUCAGGAUGUUCUUCCUGUGCCUACAGAGGUUUUUGAGCUGAAGCUACAGCAGCACAACAAGGGUGUGACAAGGGGUGAAAAGGGGAUGGGAGAAGGGAUUUUUUUUUCCUGGUGCUCUUGAAGCAGCUGCUGCAUCAAAGCACAGGCAAGUUAUAAGCAAAUUAUUCAGGGGGAUGAAAUUGCUGGUGAUGUUUCUAUUCCCAGAAUGGGUCAUGUUCCACCCCUGUUGUAAAAAUGCAUUAAACCAUGAGCAAGACCCUGCAGCUAUUGAAAUCCCUGGCUGAGCUCCCAUUUCACCUUUCUGCCAUGCAGGCUGGUCUCUGCUGUGUUUAUAUGCACAAAAAAACAAAUAAUAAUUUCCCCUUGCUUUUGUGUUUUGUGUCAAGCCCUCUGGUCUGGUUCUCUGAGUGGCUCCUUGGGUUGGAAACAUAAUUUAUCAUCUCAGCUUCCAGCAAAUAGGUGGGACCUGGCUCCACCAAGCCCCAGCGAAGCAUAAAGCCUUUGUGCUGCUCAUGAGCAGCAGGAGCAGAGAUUCAGAUUCGCCUCCUGCAGCAGUGCUUGGGGUGGGUGGAUGAUAUUUGGGCUAUUUUGGGGCAGCCACCAGCCCUGGAGCAGCACAGCAGCCGCCAGAUGCUGUGGGGACCCGGCAGCUGCACCAAGCUGCUGCUUGAUGGAUUUCUUCAUGCCCAAUUAAGGCUGCUGUGUCAUCAGGAGUGAAACCAAAGAGAGCAUCGAUGCUGCUUAGGCAGAGAUGCAGGUGCACGUGUUGCACCACUAAUGUGGUUAAAUGCCCUAAACGGCAGCAGCAGCUCCCCGUGCUCCUCCUCUCCAUCCCACCACUCCCUCCAGCACUGAGGCUGCUCCAGACUGGUGCUGGUGGCUCUGGGAUGGGGAGCUCCCUUCCAUGGGUUAGGCACAUUUGUGCCAAAAGGCCUCUGGAUGGUAAGAAGCGACUUAAACUUGGAAAACAGAGGCAAACUUGAGUCUCCAACUGGCUAAGCCCAGAGUUUGGGGCUUUUUGUGGCAGUGCUCUGAAAGAUGCUGCUGGCCAAACACAGAGUUCUUACUGUGUGUGCCCCUGGGGAAUAAUUCCUGUACCUGGAAUUAUUUUCCAGGUACAGCAGCUUGGGGGUAAGGGCUGUGUGUUCCCUGCUCCCCACACCACAGUGAGAAGCCCAGGUGCCUUUUCAUUUUAUCCAUGGUUUGCUGGGUUAUGUCCCAGCCUUGGAGUCUGCCAAGGAGUCCUUGGAGCCUUGGAGCUUUGGCAUAUAUAUAUAUAUAUAUAUAUACAUAGUGGCAUGGCUCUUGGUCUCCUGGGGAGAUGAUGCCAUAUGUGGCCCUGACACCAAGCACAUCUCCUCUGGUCAAACUUCAGACUCUGCAGGCUCCUCUGCCAACAUCCUUUAUCAUUAAUACCUGCACUGCCUUGUUCAAAGCUGACUGGGUGCUCUGAGUUGCAGCAGCUCCUCUGAACUGCAGCACAGCAUUCCCUGGCUGUGCCCACACUGCCCAGGCAGGGCUGCCCUCCCUUCCAGCCCCACAGGACAGGAAUGGAGUUUGUCUCCUUCCCCCAAACUCUCCACUUGCUGCAGGUCAAUAACCAGACCUCUGCUUCAGUCACAGCCAAGAUAAUUAGUGAGCAAAGUGCAAAUAGUCACUGUGAUUCAAAUUGCCUUUUAAUUUCUUUUCAAGCUGCCUGAAGGGUUUCUUUAGUCCUAUGAAAAAACUGAUUUUUUUUUUUGAGACACCAAUCUUGCAAACCAGAAAGACACAAAGUUUUGUAUUCAAGCUGCAAUGAAAGGUGUUUGCAUUUUUACACUGCAUUUUGGAUACUUCUUGGGAAUAACGCUGAGCACUUCAGACAGUCUCACUUAAAUGAUACUAAUUAUUUUAGUUGAUCCCAAAACAAAUUCAUUUUUAAUUUUGUGCAAAAUAGUCUCAAAUAUGUUGCACCAUCUACAAAUCAUGACAGAGAUAUUGGGGGUUUUUUUAUCCAUCACUGCUUUUCAAACUUUAAACAAUCCAAUUUCAUGCUAGAGAGGCUUGAAACUAUGGGGAUUAA